AGCCCAGAGCCUGAAUCAGUGUGUGUGUUAGUGGAAGCGUCUGGAAAGGCGCGCGAUACAGGGUGACAGCCCCGUACACAAAAAUGCACAUACUGUGAGCUUGAUGAGUAGGGCGGGACACGUGGUAUCCUGUCUGAAUAUGGGGGGACCAUCCUCCAAGGCUAAAUACUCCUGACUGACCGAUAGUGAACCAGUACCGUGAGGGAAAGGCGAAAAGAACCCCGGCGAGGGGAGUGAAAAAGAACCUGAAACCGUGUACGUACAAGCAGUGGGAGCACGCUUCGGCGUGUGACUGCGUACCUUUUGUAUAAUGGGUCAGCGACUUAUAUUCUGUAGCAAGGUUAACCGAAUAGGGGAGCCGAAGGGAAACCGAGUCUUAACUGGGCGUUAAGUUGCAGGGUAUAGACCCGAAACCCGGUGAUCUAGCCAUGGGCAGGUUGAAGGUUGGGUAACACUAACUGGAGGACCGAACCGACUAAUGUUGAAAAAUUAGCGGAUGACUUGUGGCUGGGGGUGAAAGGCCAAUCAAACCGGGAGAUAGCUGGUUCUCCCCGAAAGCUAUUUAGGUAGCGCCUCGUGAAUUCAUCUCCGGGGGUAGAGCACUGUUUCGGCAAGGGGGUCAUCCCGACUUACCAACCCGAUGCAAACUGCGAAUACCGGAGAAUGUUAUCACGGGAGACACACGGCGGGUGCUAACGUCCGUCGUGAAGAGGGAAACAACCCAGACCGCCAGCUAAGGUCCCAAAGUCAUGGUUAAGUGGGAAACGAUGUGGGAAGGCCCAGACAGCCAGGAUGUUGGCUUAGAAGCAGCCAUCAUUUAAAGAAAGCGUAAUAGCUCACUGGUCGAGUCGGCCUGCGCGGAAGAUGUAACGGGGCUAAACCAUGCACCGAAGCUGCGGCAGCGACACUAUGUGUUGUUGGGUAGGGGAGCGUUCUGUAAGCCUGUGAAGGUGUACUGUGAGGUAUGCUGGAGGUAUCAGAAGUGCGAAUGCUGACAUAAGUAACGAUAAAGCGGGUGAAAAGCCCGCUCGCCGGAAGACCAAGGGUUCCUGUCCAACGUUAAUCGGGGCAGGGUGAGUCGACCCCUAAGGCGAGGCCGAAAGGCGUAGUCGAUGGGAAACAGGUUAAUAUUCCUGUACUUGGUGUUACUGCGAAGGGGGGACGGAGAAGGCUAUGUUGGCCGGGCGACGGUUGUCCCGGUUUAAGCGUGUAGGCUGGUUUUCCAGGCAAAUCCGGAAAAUCAAGGCUGAGGCGUGAUGACGAGGCACUACGGUGCUGAAGCAACAAAUGCCCUGCUUCCAGGAAAAGCCUCUAAGCAUCAGGUAACAUCAAAUCGUACCCCAAACCGACACAGGUGGUCAGGUAGAGAAUACCAAGGCGCUUGAGAGAACUCGGGUGAAGGAACUAGGCAAAAUGGUGCCGUAACUUCGGGAGAAGGCACGCUGAUAUGUAGGUGAAGUCCCUCGCGGAUGGAGCUGAAAUCAGUCGAAGAUACCAGCUGGCUGCAACUGUUUAUUAAAAACACAGCACUGUGCAAACACGAAAGUGGACGUAUACGGUGUGACGCCUGCCCGGUGCCGGAAGGUUAAUUGAUGGGGUCAGCGCAAGCGAAGCUCUUGAUCGAAGCCCCGGUAAACGGCGGCCGUAACUAUAACGGUCCUAAGGUAGCGAAAUUCCUUGUCGGGUAAGUUCCGACCUGCACGAAUGGCGUAAUGAUGGCCAGGCUGUCUCCACCCGAGACUCAGUGAAAUUGAACUCGCUGUGAAGAUGCAGUGUACCCGCGGCAAGACGGAAAGACCCCGUGAACCUUUACUAUAGCUUGACACUGAACAUUGAGCCUUGAUGUGUAGGAUAGGUGGGAGGCUUUGAAGUGUGGACGCCAGUCUGCAUGGAGCCGACCUUGAAAUACCACCCUUUAAUGUUUGAUGUUCUAACGU
rnacentral:rRNA from 1 species